rnacentral:rRNA from 1 species
AUACGGAGGGUGCAAGCGUUACUCGGAAUCACUGGGCGUAAAGCGCGCGCAGGCGGGCUGAUAAGUUGGAUGUGAAAGCCUACGGCUCAACCGUAGAACUGCAUCCAAAACUGUCAGUCUAGAGUGUGGGAGAGGAAGAUGGAAUUAGUUGUGUAGGGGUAAAAUCCGUAGAGAUAACUAGGAAUACCAAAAGCGAAGGCAAUCUUCUGGAACAGUGCUGACGCUGAGGCGCGAAAGCGUGGGGAGCAAACAGGAGUAGAAACCCUAGUAGUCC